rnacentral:lncRNA from 1 species
UACAUUUCCAAGGCCAAUUUUGCAUGGGCUAGCCACAGUUUAACUACUCAUGUUGAACAUAACAUAACCAAGGAUACCAUUUCGAAGGUAUUCAUUACAUAAUGAGGGAUAGUUUAGUAGAUACUCAUCACAUAACCAAGGAUAGUAUAAUAGGUACUCAUUACAUAACAUAAGCAAGAGUGGAUUACAUAACCCAACUAGUGAACACUGAUAGCAGUUCACUCAUCAAGUAUAGCCUUCAUCUUGGCAAGUUUGUCCUUGUAACCUUGACCAGCUUUGAGGAGAUAUCCAACAACAUACUCUAACUUCUUCUCCUCCUCUUUCACAAGAUCCCUCUCAUGGUUUUAUCUCAUCCCUCUCCUUCCUAGUGUUCCUGAUGAUUUCCCCCUUAGAUAUAGUAAUGCACUUGAGCUCCUUGUCAUCAAUAAUAAGAUUUUCAAACUCCUCCUUCAUCUUGUCAUUCUCAAGCUUCUCCUUCUCUUGGUCAAUAGUCAGCUUCCGUAUCUCCUUGUCUACAU